CCUACGGGUGGCAGCAGUGAGGAAUAUUGGUCAAUGGGCGCGAGCCUGAACCAGCCAAGUAGCGUGAAGGAUGACUGCCCUACGGGUUGUAAGCUUCUUUUAUAAAGUAGUAAAGUGCGGCACGUGUGCCUUUUUGUAUGGCCUUUAUGAAUAAAGCUCGGCUAACUCCGUGCCAGCAGCCGCGGUAAUACGGAGGUGCCGAGCGUUAUCCGGAUUUACUGGGUGUAAAGGGAGCGUAGAUGGGUGGUUAAGUCAGGUGUGAAAGUUUGCGGCUUAACCGUAAAAUUGCAAUGGAUACUGGCAGGCUUGAGUACAGUUGAGGUAGGCGGAAUUCGUGGUGUAGCGGUGAAAUGCGUAGAUAUCACGAAGAACUCCGAUUGCGAAGGCAGCUUACUAAACUGCAACUGACAUUGAUGCUCGAAAGUGUGGGGAUCAAACAGGAUUAGAUACCCCGGUAGUC
rnacentral:rRNA from 1 species